UGAAUACGAGACGCUAAGGCGUCGAAGUAGUGUAUGUCAUACUUCCAAGAAAAGCUUGCACUGUCAUAGAUAAAAAACGCCUGUACCAUAACCGACACAGGUGGGUAGGUAGAGUAUACUAAGGGGCGCGAGAUAACUCUCUCUAAGGAACUCGGCAAAAUAACUCCGUAACUUCGGGAGAAGGAGUGCCUUAUUCGUAAGGUUGCAAUAACAAGAUCCAAGCAACUGUUUAUCAAAAACACAGGUCUCCGCUAAGUCGUAAGACGAUGUAUGGGGGCUGACGCCUGCCCAGUGCCAGAAGGUUAAAGAAGUUGGUUAGCAAUUGCGAAGCUGAUAACUGAAGCCCUGGUGAACGGCGGCCGUAACGAUAACGGUCCUAAGGUAGCGAAAUUCCUUGUCGGGUAAGUUCCGACCCGCACGAAAGGCGUAAUGAUUUGGAUACUGUCUCGGAGAGGGGCUCGGUGAAAUAGACUUGUCUGUGAAGAUGCGGACUACCUGCACCAGGACAGAAAGACCCUAUGAAGCUUUACUGUAACUUGAAAUUGAAAUUGGACUUUAUUCGCGCAGUAUAGGUGGGAGGCGUUGAUUAUAAUCUUGUGGGAUUAUUGGAGCCAUCAGUGAGAUACCACUCUUGUAAUGUUAGAUUUCUAACUUUGAAUCAUUAUCUGGUCAAAGAACAGUUUCAGGCGGGCAGUUUGACUGGGGCGGUCGCCUCCUAAACGGUAACGGAGGCGUACAAAGGUUUCCUCUGAACGGUUAGAAAUCGUAUCUAGAGUGUAAAGGCAUAAGGAAGCUUGACUGUGAGACCUACAAGUCGAGCAGGGACGAAAGUCGGUCUUAGUGAUCUGACGGUACUGAGUGGAAAGGCCGUCACUCAACGGAUAAAAGUUACUCUAGGAUAACAGGCUGAUCUCCCCCAAGAGUUCACAUCGACGGGGAGGUUUGGCACCUUGAUGUCGGCUCAUCGCAUCCUGGGGCGGUAGUACGUCCCAAGGGUUGGGCUGUUCGCCCAUGAAAGCGGUACGCGAGCUGGGUUCAGAACGUCGUGAGACAGUUCGGUCCAUAUCCGGUGUAGGCGUUAGAAUAUUGAGAGGAGCCUUCUUUAGUACGAGAGGACCGAGAAGGACAUACCUCUGGUGUACCAGUUAUUGUGCCAACGGUAAACGCUGGGUAGCUAUGUAUGGAGUGGAUAACCGCUGAAAGCAUCUAAGUGGGAAGCCCACCUCAAGAUAAGUAUUCUCAU
rnacentral:rRNA from 1 species